rnacentral:rRNA from 1 species
GAUGAACGCUGGCGGCGUGCCUAAUACAUGCAAGUCGAGCGAACAGACGAGGAGCUUGCUCCUCUGACGUUAGCGGCGGAUGGGUGAGUAACACGUGGAUAACCUACCUAUAAGACUGGGAUAACUUCGGGAAACCGGAGCUAAUACCGGAUAACAUGUUGAACCGCAUGGUUCAACAGUGAAAGACGGUCUUGCUGUCACUUAUAGAUGGAUCCGCGCCGCAUUAGCUAGUUGGUAAGGUAACGGCUUACCAAGGUAACGAUGCGUAGCCGACCUGAGAGGGUGAUCGGCCACACUGGAACUGAGACACGGUCCAGACUCCUACGGGAGGCAGCAGUAGGGAAUCUUCCGCAAUGGGCGAAAGCCUGACGGAGCAACGCCGCGUGAGUGAAGAAGGUCUUCGGAUCGUAAAACUCUGUUAUUAGGGAAGAACAAAUGUGUAAGUAACUAUGCACGUCUUGACGGUACCUAAUCAGAAAGCCACGGCUAACUACGUG